AUGAGUGGGCGUUUGUAUGAAGUAUGAAUGUAUGAUCUAUCUAUGAUGUCUAUAAAUAGUUGAGUCCCAACCCAUCCCUGAAAUCCCGAGAACCCCUUCUCCACUGUCUUCCCCCAGACUCUCUCUUCCGCCCCUUUUUACAGGGCCAAAAAUAACACCCCACCCCACAUCUAUCUAUCUAUAUAUAUCUAAACCCCUCAAUCUUUUUUUUACCCAAAUGGCCCAAGAAGAUUCCUCUCCAGAUCCAUCUCCUUCUCCCCCAAACCUCUCGGAUCCUUCCAAACCCGAUCCACCUCCUCCAUCUUCGUCGUCGUCGUCUUCGUCUUCGUUAUCGCGAAACGUUUCGUUUAGCAGGCUCAACGCGCAGGCUCCCGAGUUCGUUCCGACUCAGCAGCAAGCACCGCGACUCGCUGCUGCUUCUGCUUCUGCUUCUGCUGCUGUUGUUCCUCCUCCUCCGCCUCCGCCGCCGCCUAUGCACUCGUUUCCUCUCCGUUCCACGUUGCGGCGGCGAUCCAGGGUCACGUGGCGGUCCCUCCUCACGUGAUCCCCGUUCAGCAUCCUCAUCAUGUUCCGGUUCAGUACCAUCCUCAUCACCCGCAUCAUCCGCAUCCGCAUCCUCAUCAUCAUCAUCAGCAGUACUACGGCGGCGGAGGCGGUGGUGGUGGUGGAGGGUUUAGAGAGCAAGAGGUUGGGGCGCAAGUGCAAAAUCAAGCUCCGGUGGAGUCUGAUCAUGUUGUUGCUGCCGCUUCUUCGUCCUCGGCAAAAAACAAGAUCUCCGAGGAGGCUACUCAGAAGAUUUUGAAUCAGGUCCGAAAUUCAGGCUUGAUAGAAGGUCAAUCCAUUGAAGCUCUUGAAGUGGAUUUUACAAACAAGUUUAUUGGAGGUGGUCCUUUAGAUAGAGGUUGUGUCAGUUGGAAGACAGGGCUGAGGCUGUCAACUCAAUAACUUGCAUCAAAGUUGGCUAUCCAGGAUGUUACUCAAUACUUCUUUGAAAUGAAGAAGAAAAAAAAGGUCCUGCACAUGUUACAUGGAUAGGCAUGACCAUAUCUUGUUCAGGUCCUACAAAAUCUGCUGUCAUUUGAUAUUUGUUGAAGUCUGCAAUUGUGUAAAAAAAACGGAUGCAAUUCAUCAGGUCCGGCUCCUCUGCAGUUAUUAUUUCUCCCAUUAUCUCCAGUUUCAAAACGGAUGCAAUUCAUCUGGCAAGACCAAAUCUAAGGAUCAUUCAUAUUUCACAAAGACUCUAUUUUGUUCAAUGGCUGCUCUCCUUGAGUCCUUCCAUCAUCUCCUUCCCACUAAAAUCCUUUAACAUCGCUCUCUGUCUCUUUCAGAUUUUUGCUACAGCUUCAACAUCAGCCUUGCAUGGUAUUUCUCUAAGAUAGGCGACCAACCUAUUGGAGAGAACGCUCGCAUUGUGUAUUCUUCCGAGAGGGAGAAAUUUGGUGCAGAUGUGAUUGAAGAAAUUAAUCUGCUUAUCACUCCCAAAGAAGUCAUUUCUUGCUAAAGCUGGAGCUCUUUUUUGAGUUUGUGUUAAAUUGUUAAUGAUUUCCAUAGAAAAUGAAAAGAUAGUGGUGGAGCUGUAGCACAGCAAUUGUAUUGAAAGCUUCCUUUCUCUGAUUAAAAUGUACUACCCUUGGGGACUAAGUUGAGCAACUUGUGAAGAGAAGCAACGAUAACCCUUGAAAAGCUGAGAGGGUGUUUGUGAAAAUGAUUAUGCUGGUGGUAGCUUGUUUUUUUGUAAAAGUACCUCACCAAGGGCAUCAUUUUGUCUGCAACCACUCAUUUUUUGCAUGCCACUUAAGCCAUUGAAAGAAGAAUUCAGUACUUUCUAUAGAGUGGUCAAGCAAGUUACAAAAUGCUUUGAUGGACCUGGUCUUGUGCUUGCUAUUUUGCAACUUUUAGUUCUAUGGUUGGGCUGUAGGGUCAUUUUUGUUGGGUGAAUGCAAGGCAUGUUUCUGUAUUUUCUGCUCAUGUAACCAUUGAACAUUAUCUUGAUUAAUGAAUUUUUUUUGUUCAUCAAAAUUUUUUUGUUGGAAUUUAGUACGAAUGGGGUCUCUAUAUUUUUUUCUUCUUUGAGAAAAUUUUCCCUAGGCAGUAUUUGUGUCCUUGCAUGAGAUAUUACAGAAUAGGUAUAAAAAUAUUAAUUGCAGGAAAUUUUCGUGGAGUAAUUUGACAAAAUUUGUUUGCUUCUAGAGUUGCAAAUGCAUCAGACUUUGUG